rnacentral:rRNA from 1 species
AUUGAACGCUGGCGGCAGGCCUAACACAUGCAAGUCGAACGGUAACAGGAAGCAGCUUGCUGCUUCGCUGACGAGUGGCGGACGGGUGAGUAAUGUCUGGGAAGCUGCCUGAUGGAGGGGGAUAACUACUGGAAACGGUAGCUAAUACCGCAUAAUGUCGCAAGACCAAAGAGGGGGACCUUCGGGCCUCUUGCCAUCGGAUGUGCCCAGAUGGGAUUAGCUUGUUGGUGGGGUAACGGCUCACCAAGGCGACGAUCCCUAGCUGGUCUGAGAGGAUGACCCGCCACACUGGAACUGAGACACGGUCCAGACUCCUACGGGAGGCAGCAGUGGGGAAUAUUGCACAAUGGGCGCAAGCCUGAUGCAGCCAUGCCGCGUGUAUGAAGAAGGCCUUCGGGUUGUAAAGUACUUUCAGCGGGGAGGAAGGGAGUAAAGUUAAUACCUUUGCUCAUUGACGUUACCCGCAGAAGAAGCACCGGCUAACUCC